UAAAAUGACUCUCGGCAACGGAUAUCUAGGCUCUCGCAUCGAUAAAAAACGCAGCGAAAUGAGAUACUUGGUGUGAAUUGCAGAAUCCCGUGAAUCAUAGAGUCUUUGAACGCAAGUUGCGCCCGCUGUUUUGUGCCCAAGGGCAUGUCCGCCUGGGUGUC
rnacentral:rRNA from 1 species